AAGGAUGAAAGUGAAGUGCUCGCAGAGAUUGAUAAAAUCCAACGCAAAUGAGACUCUUUCGAACCUUGGUUUGCUGCAUAUCGUUCAACAACAGACGUCACUCUGCCUGCACCUGGAAGAGAGUCUGUGGAAUCCAUCAGAAAGAGAGAUUGUUUUUUGGAGCCUGAGAAAUAGGGAAAGCAUAGUUUCAUCCUUGUCAAAAGACUGGAACAUAUCUGCUGGCUUUUCUUGCUUGAACCGCAUCACCUAUUGACAUGGCCUUUCUACUGGAAAGACCUUAUAUCUUUUCUUUGCCAAAACAUGAUCCUUUCAUUAUUUUGUCAGUUCAUAUGCCAAUGGUGAACAAUCAGUUGGUGUUGGAAAUUGGAAGCUACGGGGAAUUUUCAAAUUGAAAUUUGCAUGGCAGCUACGGGGAAUUUCCAAAUUCUACUGGUGUUACCAAUCCAACUAGAUUUUGUGCCCGUGCUACGCACCGGGGACCCGAAAACCAUACACAUUUUAUUUUCUUUUAACCAUAUUUUUGGUUUGGUGUGAUGUGGCUUCGUCUCGCCCCGGCUCGCAUUUUUUACUUGUUGUCGCAGGGUUUCCACCGCCCCAUUAUUUAGGAGUUUUGAUUUGGUGUGGCUCGGCUCGCCUCGCCCCAAUGCAUGCUAAGGAGUUUUUGAUUUGAUAUGGCUUGGCUUCACCUCGCCCCGUCGCAUAGAAUUUUUGAUUUUGUGUGGAUCGGCGUCGCCUCGUCCCGAUGCAUACUUAGGAUUAUUAAUCUUGUGUGGUUCGAUGCAUGCUUAGGAUUUUUAAUUUGGUGUGGUUUGGAUUCCUCUCACCUAUUCCCGAUGCAUGCCGAGGAUUUUCGAUUUGGUAUAGCUCGGCUUCUCCUCGCCCCUCGCUUCGGAUAUUGAUUUGGUGUUUGUUUUUAUUUUCUUUCUUUUUUUAUCUUUGUUGGACAGUGUUUGAAAAGAUGGUGAUAGGAGUUGAUAGAAAUAUAAAGCCAUUUCCAAUAGCAUUCAACAAAAAUAAUAACCAGUGUACUUAUUAAU